rnacentral:rRNA from 1 species
GGCGGCGAUCAUACCAGCACUAAUGCUUCGGAUCCCAUCAGAACUCCGCUGUUAAGUGUGCUUGGGCGAGAGUAGUAAUAGGAUGGGUGACCCCCCUGGGAAGUCCUCGUGUUGCAACUC